AAGUCGUAACAAGGUUUCCGUAGGUGAACCUGCGGAAGGAUCAUUAACAAAUCAUUGAGCGAAAGCUCUAUAACCUUUGUGAAUAGGCUUGCUUUAUGCAAGUUCGAUGGGUCGAGGGAAAGCGAAGAGUAGUUUGAUAACGUUGGAUUUGUUCUAACUGACUCUAACUUCGUGUUAGAUUGCUUAUAACUUAGGUUAGAAUGCAUCUAACUUACUCCUAGCUAUUAUUAUAGUCUAAUUAUAAUUGGAUUUCGAAAGAUUUCUAAAAACUAAUACAACUUUUAACAAUGGAUCUCUAGGCUCUU
rnacentral:misc_RNA from 1 species